UUGUAAAGCUCUUUUGUCAGGAAUGAAUCGGUGAGGUCUAAUUCACUUUACUAAUGACGAUACCUGAAGAAUAAGCCCGGGCUAAAUACGUGCCAGCAGCCGCGGUAAUACGUAGGGUGCAAGCGUUAGUCUGAAUUACUGGGCGUAAUGUGUGCGCAGGCGGUUAUAUAGGUCAGAGGUGAAUCGCCGUGCUCUACCUGGGAACUGCAUUUGAGACUGUAUGGCUAGAGUGUGUCAGAGGGGGGUAGACUUCCACGUGUAGCAGUGAUAUGCGUAGAUAUGUGGAGGAAUACCGAUGGCGAAGGCAGCCCCCUGUGAUAACACUGACGGUCAUGCACGAAAGCGUGGGUAGCAAUCAGGAUUAGAUACCAUGGUAGUCCUCGCCUUGAACGAUGUGUACUAGUUGUUGGGUGUUAAUUGACUUAGUAACGCAGCUAACGCGUGAAGUAGACCGCCUGGGGAGUACGGUCGCAAGAUUAAAACUCAAAGGAAUUGACGGGGACCCGCACAAGCGGUGGAUGAUGUGGAUUAAUUCGAUGCAACGCGAAAAACCUUACCUACCCUUGACAUGUACAGAAUGCCGAAGAGAUUUGGCGGUGCUCGCAAGAGAACUGUAACACAGGUGCUGCAUGGCUGUCGUCAGCUCGUGUCGUGAGAUGUUGGGUUAAGUCCCGCAACGAGCGCAACCCUUGUCAUUAGUUGCUACAUUAAGUUGAGCACCCUAAUGAGACUGCCGGUGACAAACCGGAGGAAGGUGGGGAUGACGUCAAGUCCUCAUGGCCGUUAUGGGUAGGGCUUCACACGUCAUACAAUGGUACAUACAGAGGGCCGCCAACCCGCGAGGGGGAGCUAAUCCCAGAAAGUGUAUCGUAGUCCGGAUUGUAGUCUGCAACUCGACUACAUGAAGUUGGAAUCGCUAGUAAUCGCGGAUCAGCAUGUCGUGGUGAAUAGCGUU
rnacentral:rRNA from 1 species